AGACGUGGCCGACGCGGGUCAAAGCGCAGUAUCUGUUCUUAUCAGCUUACUAUUUGAUACGGGUUGUACUUGGACCCAAGAUAUUAAACUUACUUUUGCAAAUUGGCGGAGUGCUUGAAGCGUGCUUCACCUCCGCCGCGGGUGGGCCGGUAUUGCACUACCUUCGGGACUUUUGGUCUACGGACA